GACGAACGCUGGCGGCGUGCUUAACACAUGCAAGUCGAACGCUGAAGCUCAGCUUUUGUUGGGUGGAUGAGUGGCGAACGGGUGAGUAACACGUGAGUAACCUGCCUCCUUCUUUGGGAUAACGCCCGGAAACGGGUGCUAAUACUGGAUAUUCACUGGUCUUCGCAUGGGGGUUGGUGGAAAGGGUUUUUCUGGUGGGGGAUGGGCUCGCGGCCUAUCAGCUUGUUGGUGGGGUGAUGGCCUACCAAGGCUUUGACGGGUAGCCGGCCUGAGAGGGUGAACGGGCACAUUGGGACUGAGAUACGGCCCAGACUCCUACGGGAGGCAGCAGUGGGGAAGAUUGCACAAUGGGCGCAAGCCUGAUGCAGCGACGCCGCGUGAGGGAUGGAGGCCUUCGGGUUGUGAACCUCUUUCGCUCAUGGUCAAGCCGCAACAAUGGUUGUGGUGAGGGUAGUGGGUAAAGAAGCGCCGGCUAACUACGUG
rnacentral:rRNA from 1 species